AAAGUCGUAACAAGGUUUCCGUAGGUGAACCUGCGGAAGGAUCAUUACCGAGUUUUUUUCUUAGGAAAAUACCUCCCACCCUUGUGUAUUUAUGCUGAUAAGCAGCUUCGGCGAGCCGUUGUGAUGCUCCUGGUAGUAUCGAAAGAUGCGCCUAGUAGUAUCGAAACAUUGGCCUACAAGCGAAUCCGUGCUUGCCGAAGGAACAACUCUGAUAAUUUGAAGUCUGACCAAACUUGAUAAUAAAUCAAAACUUUCAACAACGGAUCUCUUGGUUCUG
rnacentral:misc_RNA from 1 species